rnacentral:tRNA from 1 species
GCCUGGGUGGCUUAGUUGGUUAAGCAACUGACUUUGGCUCAGGUCAUGAUCUUGUGGUUGGUGAGUUCAAGCCCCGCAUCAGGCU